UUGACCUCAAAUCAGGUAGGACUACCCGCUGAACUUAAGCAUAUCAAUAAGCGGAGGAAAAGAAACUAACAAGGAUUCCCUUAGUAACUGCGAGUGAAGAGGGAAGAGCUCAAAUUUAAAAUCUGGCAGUGUUUUGCUGUCCGAGUGU
rnacentral:rRNA from 1 species